UCGUCUUCGCAACGAGAGCCGCCAUCUUCUCGCGCCUAACGUUUUGUAUGGCUUUGUUCUCUGCAAUCCGCGCACGCAGCUCAUCGGUGGAUGCACGUCUGCUCGGCGUCGCAAUGCGGCCUGCGUCAUUUUUUGGUGUUCGCGCAAUCGGUGUGAAGCAUGUCGCAUGUGAAAUGUUUGGUAGAAGUGCCUCACGUCCAAGUCAAGCCGCCGUACGGGUGUAUGGCUGUGCGCCCUGUUCUCGGAAGCGUCAACGGCUUUCCGGCAUGCGGAUUUCAGCGUUUGGACUCGACUUUUGGUGAGGCUGUCGAUCGACCUUGGGCCUGGUGACAGCACACCCGACAUCGCCAAAGUGCAGCCUAUCAGUUGAGUGCCCCCGAAUGGACCAUCAACAUCGGAAACUGAAGCAGAGCCAGGGGGAAAAAGCUCCGGUAACACCAUGCAUUCAGUAUGGUGGCCCAGACGUGUAUGCAAGCAACCUCCUUCAUGUGGACCAAGAACUACUCUGCAGUGUCUCACAGUCUUCCAUGCGAAGCCCUCAACAUUCUCGUCUCAGUGGAAUGGCUGCCCAUCUAUCUGCGUGUCCAUCACCAAGACGGCUAGUUGUAAAGCUCCUGUACCCGUUUAAGAAAGCUUAACGAUUUUUUUUAUUUAGUUUUCACGGUUGGCCGUAGAAUCUUAACAUUUUUGAUGUUUCUAACGUUUUUACCUGGCACAAAGUGGCGCAAUAACUUUAAACCAGUGUAAUGUAUUUAAGUGAUGCUCACUCUAAUGCCUAUCUGGUUUUGUUUGUGUUUAAGAAAUUUGAAUGUCUGAUGAGGUAACAGCAUUUAAAUUUGUCAUCGUGGCUUGGUUCUAUGAGCUGCUAGGAAAUAAGAUGCAAAACUUAUCACAUGCCAGUUGUAGCAUUUUUGUAUUCAUGACUAAAGUAUACACGUUUCAAAAGAUGGAAAGUGGGGAAAAAAAGCCUCAAGAACAUAAUCAUCCUAGGAUUGUCAUGUCCUUACAACUCUGCAAUGACUAAUGCCUCAUGGAUCUUGGGAGCACAAUGGUCGCAAUGCCUACAGGUAUACUUGAUAAGAGACUAGCUUGCAAAAAUUUAGUUGAGAGUUAGCGCUCAUCCUGUCUGCUUCUAGUCUGUGUCCAUGCCACUUCGCGCUACAAUCCAAGAUCAUGUUACUGUACCAACUCGCCCAACUUUUUAUCCUUGUGUUAAAGACACACUCAGACUUGUUCUUACUUAUGUGACCGGUUAUUUUUGUGCUUUAUAAUAAGAUGCAGUGCUUUUCGAAUGAAAACGUGAUAUUUAGUAGUGAGGUUAUUUAAAAAAACUGUUCUGCUUAAAAUUUAAUUGAGCAAGCCUGUGCCAUUAUUCGGUGCUUAUGUCUUUGUAUUGGUAUGGUUUUACUCAUCUUCCUUUUUACUUUUAAAAUGUGCAAACAUUAUUAUGUAACCAUUUCUCUUGAAUGAAAUAAAUACUUCUGACAUUUCGUCACAAA